CUUGAGACUCCACUAGAAAAAUUAUUUCAUGAGACAUCAAACUAUCAUGCCCUUCGUACCUUUGGGUGCGCAUGUUGGCCCAACCUCCGUCCUUUUAAUGCUCGCAAGCUCGAAUUUCGCUCCAAACAAUGUGUAUUCCUUGGCUACAGUAACCUUCACAAAGGUUUCAAGUGUCCAGACAUAACUGUUGGACGUGUUUAUAUUUCCCGUGACGUCGUGUUUGAUGAAACAGUGUUCCCUUUUGCCAAAUUAAACCCCAAUGCCGGUGCUCUUAUCAGACCCGAAGUCCUUCUUCUCUCUGAAAAUUCCUCCUCCUUACAUCUUGAUCAUGGGGACGGACAUAUAGCUAAUGAUCACUUGGGUAAUUCCGAUAAAAAUUCUGCUAUAAAUUUCGGAGGAAAUCCGGUUGUGCACUAUGAUUUUAUGCAGCAGCAG
rnacentral:rRNA from 1 species